rnacentral:rRNA from 1 species
GCGGAAGUUUUCGGAUAGAAGCGUGUAUGACUGAGCGGCGGACGGGUGAGUAACGCGUGGGUAACCUGCCUCAUACAGGGGGAUAACAGUUAGAAAUGACUGCUAAUACCGCAUAAGCGCACAGGACCGCAUGGUCAAGUGUGAAAAACUCCGGUGGUAUGAGAUGGACCCGCGUCUGAUUAGCUGGUUGGUGAGGUAACGGCCCACCAAGGCGACGAUCAGUAGCCGACCUGAGAGGGUGGCCGGCCACAUUGGGACUGAGACACGGCCCAAACUCCUACGAGAGGCAGCAGUGGGGAAUAUUGCACAAUGGGGGAAACCCUGAUGCAGCAACGCCGCGUGAGUGAAGAAGUAUUUCGGUAUGUAAAGCUCUAUCAGCAGGGAAGAAGAAAGACGGUACCUGACUAAGAAGCCCCGGCUAACUACGUGCCAGCAGCCGCGGUAAUACGUAGGGGGCAAGCGUUAUCCGGAUUUACUGGGUGUAAAGGGAGCGUAGACGGCAUAGCAAGUCUGAAGUGAAAGCCCGUGGCUCAACCGCGGAACUGCUUUGGAAACUGUUAAGCUGGAGUACUGGAGAGGCAAGCGGAAUUCCUAGUGUAGCGGUGAAAUGCGUAGAUAUUAGGAGGAACACCAGUGGCGAAGGCGGCUUGCUGGACAGAGACUGACGUUGAGGCUCGAAAGCGUGGGGAGCAAACAGGAUUAGAUACCCUGGUAGUCCACGCGGUAAACGAUGAAUGCUAGGUGUUGGCGGGCAAAGCCCGUCGGUGC